CUACAAGCUUCCUGCAUGCUUGAGUCUAAGAUGACACUGUGCAUUUCUUCAGUGCUUGCAAGAACAUUAUGAAACAGUUUGCAGCCUUUUCCUAUUCCAUUCAGAGCAAGAUUAUAGAAAUUUUAGAUAAAU